AGUCCUGUGGCCUAGCGGCGAAGGCAGCUCUCUUACAAGGAGCGGAUCGGGGGUUCGAGUCCCUCCAGGACUA
rnacentral:tRNA from 1 species